AGCCGUCCCGUAACACAAAUCGUCGGUACACUUCCCCGUU
rnacentral:sRNA from 1 species